rnacentral:tRNA from 1 species
CAUCGUCUCCCCGAUGGACAUGUACUCCGCUAUUGACGGGGUCCCGGGCGACUUCCACAAGGUCCACCUGGGGUCCAAGGCCCUGGGCGGUGC